rnacentral:rRNA from 1 species
AGUGGCGGACGGGUGAGUAAUGCGUGAGCAACCUACCCUUCAGAGGGGGACAACAGUUGGAAACGACUGCUAAUACCGCAUAAAGUAUGUAGACCGCAUGGUCUGUAUACCAAAGAUUUAUCGCUGAAGGAUGGGCUCACGUCUGAUUAGUUAGUUGGUAGGGUAACGGCCUACCAAGACUGCGAUCAGUAGCCGGACUGAGAGGUUGACCGGCCACAUUGGGACUGAGAUACGGCCCAGACUCCUACGGGAGGCAGCAGUGGGGAAUAUUGGGCAAUGGGGGAAACCCUGACCCAGCAACGCCGCGUGAAGGAAGAAGGCUUUCGGGUUGUAAACUUCUUUUAGCGGGGACGAAAAAAAUGACGGUACCUGCAGAAUAAGCUCCGGCUAACUACGUGCCAGCAGCCGCGGUAAUACGUAGGGAGCAAGCGUUAUCCGGAUUUACUGGGUGUAAAGGGCGCGCAGGCGGAAUGGAAAGUCAGUGGUGAAAUCCUACAGCUUAACUGUAGAACUGCCUUUGAUACUUUCAUUCUUGAGUUCGGGAGAGAGAGACGGAAUUCCAGGUGUAGUGGUGAAAUACGU